UACAACGUAUUGCGUUUAUAAAGAGCUAAAACUUCCAUAUAUUUUAACGUGUACACAAAAUCGUUCCCUGAAAAACAACGAACGUGGGCCAGAACCUCUCUACACCACUGUGGCCUCUCGCUAAGCCUAAGCUGGAUGAGGUAUUUAUCAGCACGGCUGUGGAGCGGGGAAGUGCACGGAGACCCCCCUGCAGAGCUUUGUAGUCUGGCACUAAUUUAAUGUUUAAUACGACGUUCUACUCGCAAUGUAAUACUAUCGGCUAUAAUCACGCGAGCAGUUGCCAAUGGCCAGAAAGUAAAUUCUUGCGUGAUGGUCAAAGAAUUGGGCAAGAUGGCCUUUUUUUUUCGCUCGAAUUGGGUCUCCUCACUUGAUCGGAGACAGGUUGGGAGGAGUAGUAGUAGAGCGUACAGACCAUCUGGCGAAAGCGAUUGUUCCAGAGGAAAAAUAAACUGUUUCCGAGCGGUGAUUCAGAUGUCAUCGUCUCCUGGGCCCAGCUUGCGACCGGGGUCGAAGUUCCUGUUGAAACAGAAAGAACGAAUUAAUUGGCUUCCUGCAAAGUUACAACAUUCAAACUAAUAUAACGAAUGCGUGAAAUCGGUAACAAAAUCUAUAAGUUACAACUCAAUUUCUCACAAGAGGAAAAAGUUAAGUAUGGUUUAAACGUUAACGACGUCCAAUUGACAAGAACUACGCCGGCUGGAUUGGACUGUGGGUAUAUUGCAAAUUGAGGACUAGGGGGCCCCGUUCUCUUGAGAGCCUUCAGGCGAUGCUCCUUGAAGUCAAAACGGCAACAUUGCUUUGCCUUCACCUUAGGCCAUGCGGGUGCGCAUGCAGCGACGUUAGUGGCUGUGCACGUAACGGCACAUGUGCCACAUUUUAAUUUAAGACUCCUGAACUAAAAAGUUCCUCGGCGUCAGUUUUAUCGCUAAUUUAGGUUCAGCUUUAAACAGGGAGCACAGUACCGAUAGGAAAAGUUUUACGGGCUGAAACGUUUUUAUAUACUGACUUGUUUAAAUCAAUGUAUUGUACUUUGCUAAUUAGUCUUUCGUGCUUAAAGCCAUUACCGUAUAUUUUUACUUUGAAAACCAACGCCGGCCGAGUCAAAUCUACUAAAUCAUUACUAGCCAUUAUUAAUAAACAACAAUUUAGAGGGAAAAAUGUUGGCAGCGCUUAAAUA